rnacentral:rRNA from 1 species
UACAGAGGGUGCGAGCGUUGUUCGGAAUUACUGGGCGUAAAGCGUGUGUAGGCGGUCUCUUAAGUCGGAUGUGAAAGCCCCGGGCUCAACCCGGGAAGUGCACUCGAAACUGGGAGGCUAGAGUACUGGAGAGGUUGGUGGAAUUCUCGGUGUAGAGGUGAAAUUCGUAGAUAUCGAGAGGAACACCGGUGGCGAAGGCGGCCAACUGGACAGAUACUGACGCUGAGACACGAAAGCGUGGGGAGCGAACAGG